CAGGCAGCAUCCAAUCGCCGGGAGUUAAAUGGUGAUAAUUAUCUCGAAGCGCAGUUCCGUGGCAGUUUCGUUGCGAGUUGUGAGUUGCGCACCCUGCGGCGACCAAGGGGCAGCCCCCUUUUGCUCCAUACUUACAAACAAUUUCGCCCCUUGUAAACUCCGUCCCUCGGCGCAAUUGGCGAGCUGGAUGCAACAGGUUGGUCGUCGCCCGGUUUGAUGGUCGGCAAACAAACACAUGUGCGUUCGUUCCGGCCGUAACAGUGUGCAAUGCAAUGCUCGCCACCGCCACCGAGGACAACGAUUAGGGGAUGAAGAAGGCAUGGCGAAAAUAAAAAAAACCCGUUAGAAGAUUACGAGACGAACGCAGUAACCGGCUUCGGCACUGUGACCAAGUGAACCAUAAAUAUUAAUUUUCUCACUCACUUUCACGUCACUCGAGGGACUUGCUGGGACCCGCACCCAAGACCCACCACCGACUGCCGCGCACCGACCAAUGAACGCCAUCCGUCAAAAGCGUCAACCGAUUAUCCACCCCAGCGCCCUUACCGAGAAGCUAAAGGGCAUCGCUCGGUGGUAGCGCGUGGAAAGGGGUCGCCCCGCAAAUUGUGGCUCGUGCCAAAGGGGCGCACACGUUACGCACGGAACCGGGUCCGGAAGUGGUGAACGGAAAACGGAAGGAUUGAGUUAAAAACAAUCGGCUACUGGAUCGGACCGGACCCCUGGAUCGCCGGGGCCGGGAUAUGCGGCACCGCCGAGGGUAGUUCACUUUAGCCACUUUUCCUUUACUUUCUCCACUCUUCGCGGUGUCAACUCCAUCAUCUUCCUCAUCAUCAUCAUCAUCAUCAUCAUCUUCUGCCUCAUCACCGACAUCAUGCGCGCGCGUGCGCAUGAGUGUGUGUGUGUGCGUUUACAAUGUUGUUAUGGUUGGUUGUUCGCUUGCCACUUGGAAGCAUCCGUGAGGCGGUGCGGCGUCGUGUGCGUUGCCGGUCCGUUUAACCAUGAUGACCUCUCAACGAGGACAACGACGAGGAGAGCAGAGAGAGAACAAGAGAGACAAAGAAAGAGAGAAUGAGAGAUAGGGAUCGAGACAGAGGAUCGUGUAACGGAACAACGAAAUCUGCCAAAUCGUGAACCGUGAACCGA